rnacentral:rRNA from 1 species
UGGGGAAUAUUGCACAAUGGGCGCAAGCCUGAUGCAGCCAUGCCGCGUGUAUGAAGAAGGCCUUCGGGUUGUAAAGUACUUUCAGUCGGGAGGAAGGUGGUAAGGUUAAUAACCUUAUCAAUUGACGUUACCGACAGAAGAAGCACCGGCUAACUCCGUGCCAGCAGCCGCGGUAAUACGGAGGGUGCAAGCGUUAAUCGGAAUUACUGGGCGUAAAGCGCACGCAGGCGGUUGAUUGAGUCAGAUGUGAAAUCCCCGGGCUUAACCCGGGAAUUGCAUCUGAUACUGGUCAGCUAGAGUCUUGUAGAGGGAGGUAGAAUUCCAUGUGUAGCGAUGAAAUGCGUAGAGAUGUGGAGGAAUACCGGUGGCGAAGGCGGCCCCCUGGACAAAGACUGACGCUCAGGUGCGAAAGCGUGGGGAGCAAACAGG